rnacentral:misc_RNA from 1 species
UUGCUACACUUGUUCUGACAUUGUGAAGGAGUUCAAUAAGCAUGAUAAAGAGCCAGGAAAGUACAUCAAGCACUGGAGAGGUACAAAACCAAAGACAGGAGCACCUUAUUCAUGUGAUGUUGGCUAUGAGCGAUUUCUUGGUCCUGAGGUCUUCUUCAGUCCUGAGAUUUAUAAUAGUGAUUUUACGAGCCCUUUACCUGAGGUGAUUGACAAAUGUAUUCAGUCUGCACCAAUAGACACAAGAAGAGCUUUAUAUAAGAAUAUUGUUUUAUCUGGAGGUUCAACCAUGUUCAAAGAUUUCCAUAGAAGAUUGCAGCGAGAUCUCAAGAAGAUAGUGGAUGACCGCAUUCUUGCAUCAGAUGCUCGGUUAGGUGGAAAUGUCAAAGCACAACCAGUUGAAGUGAAUGUGGUCAGCAAUCCUAUCCAGAGAUGUGCAGUUUGGUUUGGAGGUUCUGUACUGGCUUCAACUCCUGAAUUUUUUGCGGCUUGCCAUACGAAGGCAGAAUACGAGGAAUAUGG